AUUGAACGCUGGCGGCAUGCCUUACACAUGCAAGUCGAACGGCAGCAUGAUCUAGCUUGCUAGAUUGAUGGCGAGUGGCGCACGGGUGAGUAAUACAUCGGAACGUGCCCUGUAGUGGGGGAUAACUAGUCGAAAGAUUAGCUAAUACCGCAUACGACCUGAGGGUGAAAGUGGGGGACCGCAAGGCCUCAUGCUAUAGGAGCGGCCGAUGUCUGAUUAGCUAGUUGGUGAGGUAAAGGCUCACCAAGGCGACGAUCAGUAGCUGGUCUGAGAGGACGAUCCGCCACCCUGGGACUUGGACACGGGCCAGACUCCUACGGGAGGCAGCAGUGGGGAAUUUUGGACAAUGGGCGGAAGCCUGAUCCAGCAAUGCCGCGUGUGUGGAGAAGGCCUUCGGGUUGUAAAGCACUUUUGUCCGGAAAGAAAUGGCUCUGGUUAAUACCUGGGGUCGAUGACGGUACCGGAAGAAUAAGGACCGGCUAACUACGUG
rnacentral:rRNA from 1 species